AUCCAUCAGAAAAAGCAUGUAUGAAGAUUCUUGUAUUCUGCUUAUCUUUGUUUUAUUGAAGUUUCAUUUUUAUAAGACUGAAAAUGCAGUGAAGAUGGACUAACACACAAGACUCAAGUGAUGGACCUCGAAACGAAGGAUCCAGCAGCUCUACACCCUUCUUCUGCUUUUAGAAAUACAUGGGAUAAAAGGUUAUAGGGGGAUUUACUUGUUUGUGAGUCUCAUAUGGAGUAACUUAAUGUGGUCAGGUUGUACUGAAUAAUUCAGGCUAAAAAGACAUAGACAUAGGAAGUUUGAGGAAAGAAACAUGCUUAGCAUCCCGCAACCCUCAAGGUGGAAGAAGAGAUCUAGCUUCUUAAUUCUGCAUUUGCCGAGACCAUCAAGAACCCUAAGUGUACUGCACGUGCAAUUUUUAUCUACGGGGUGAGAGGCGAUCUUGCCAGGAGAAGAAAAGAUCAGAGCAGUAAGAAGUAUCAAAAUUUAGCGAUGCAACACUCAGCUCUUCCAACUUUUUUUCGUACACCCAGGAUACUAUGUUUCGAACAUAAACGGGUCAAGGUAGAGUUUAUCCAUUUAAGUGCAGAGCAAAGUUGAUGAUAUACAUAGAUUGCUUAGUUAUGGAGUUUCUCUCCAAUGCUAUUUGAAGUAUAAUGAGUUUUGACAAUCUUUAAUUCGACUAGAGCGGUAGAUAUUAUAUUUCUUUUAGUUCUUUCAAAGAGGAUGAAUUAGUCAAAAGAAGUUCAUCCCGAGUAAGAAGGACAGACAAAUAAAAGAAUCUAUUAUUGAGAGCACCCUAAACUGGAACCUCAGUGCUAAGUUCAGCAGCACAUUCAACUGGUAAACAUGGAGUUUCCUCUCUCUGAAAAGAAUGGUCAAACAAUCAUAUUAUGCCAUAGUCCGAAUCUGAAAGAAAAUGGUGGGCCAGGAAAAGUUGAACAAGUCAACUAGGAAGCUAUCUGCUCUACUAUGGAAACCUCUAUGGCAAGCUACUUGGACUACAUGCUGCGAUGCCCAAUGCCUUAGGCUUACAUGCACAAAGUUUAUUGAUCAAUUGCACUAGAAAACAUACUGAGUCUCCACACAUUCAACUGGUAAACCUGGAGUUUCCUCUUUCUGAGAAGAAUGGUCGAACAAUCAUAUUAUGCCAUAGUCCGAAUCUGAAAGAAAUGGUGGGGCAGGAAAAGUUGAACAAGUCAACUAGGACUACGGCACAAUCAUAUUAUGCCAUAGUCCGAAUCUGAAAGAAAUGGUGGGCCAGGAAAAGUUGAACUAGUCAACUAGGACUAUGGCACAAUCAUAUUAUGCCAUAGUCCAAUGCCCAAAGUUUAUUGAUCCAUUGCACAGAAAACAUACUGAGUCUCCUCUAUUGGGGCUGCCACGGGCAUUAUCCCAUGAAGCAACCACCACAGAGGUUGACUGGAUAAUAAUAACAACAACAACAACAACAAACCAAGUGAAAUCCCAUAAGUGGGGCCUGGGGAGGGUAGUGUGUACGCACACCUUGCCCCCUACCCUGGGAGGUAGAGGCUAUUUCUAAAAGACCCUCGGAUUGAGAGGAUGGACAGGAUCAAACAAAUAUCAACAACAACAGAGGCUGACUGGACCUACUGUGAUGUACAGCUUGUAAAUAGAUAGACCUCCCAAGGGGAAUUUCGCCAACACGUGAUACAAAGCCUGUUAAAGAGUAUCGAACAUAUGGGAGGAAUCGCAAUAUAUAGUUGAGAAGAUCAUGUUUUGAGCAGUUGCGAGAAAUUAAUAAAGGUGAUCCUUUUUGGAAUCAAACAAAAAUGUUUUUCCAAGAAGCUUUCCUCAGACAAAAACCAAUUUGAUUUAAAACAGAUAUCAGUUUCCUGAAAUCAGACCAAAAUGCUUUCCAGAAACCUAAACAAAACCAACUCAGGUUUUCCAAAACAAAAUGUUCUCUAAAAGCUUGUUCACAAAAAACUAAUUGAACAUGUAACUUC
rnacentral:lncRNA from 1 species